rnacentral:rRNA from 1 species
UACGUAGGAGGCAAGCGUUGUCCGGAAUUACUGGGUGUAAAGCGCGUGUAGGCGGCAGGCCAAGUCUGUGGUGAAAUCGCUCGGCUCAACUGGGCGGGGUCCAUGGAAACUGGUCAGCUGGAGGACGGUAGAGGUGAGUGGAAUUCCCGGUGUAGCGGUGAAAUGCGUAGAGAUCGGGAGGAACACCAGUGGCGAAGGCGGCCCCCUGGUUGGAUACUGACGCUGAGACGCGAAAGCGUGGGGAGCAAACAGG